rnacentral:rRNA from 1 species
AGUCGAACGGUGAAGCAGAGCUUGCUCUGUGGAUCAGUGGCGAACGGGUGAGUAACACGUGAGCAAUCUGCCCCUCACUCUGGGAUAAGCGCUGGAAACGGCGUCUAAUACUGGAUACGAGCUGCGAAGGCAUCUUCAGCAGUUGGAAAGAUUUUUCGGUGGGGGAUGAGCUCGCGGCCUAUCAGCUUGUUGGUGAGGUAAUGGCUCACCAAGGCGUCGACGGGUAGCCGGCCUGAGAGGGUGACCGGCCACACUGGGACUGAGACACGGCCCAGACUCCUACGGGAGGCAGCAGUGGGGAAUAUUGCACAAUGGGCGCAAGCCUGAUGCAGCAACGCCGCGUGAGGGAUGACGGCCUUCGGGUUGUAAACCUCUUUUAGCAGGGAAGAAGCGAAAGUGACGGUACCUGCAGAAAAAGCGCCGGCUAACUACGUGCCAGCAGCCGCGGUAAUACGUAGGGCGCAAGCGUUAUCCGGAAUUAUUGGGCGUAAAGAGCUCGUAGGCGGUUUGUCGCGUCUGCUGUGAAAUCCCGAGGCUCAACCUCGGGUCUGCAGUGGGUACGGGCAGACUAGAGUGCGGUAGGGGAGAUUGGAAUUCCUGGUGUAGCGGUGGAAUGCGCAGAUAUCAGGAGGAACACCGAUGGCGAAGGCAGAUCUCUGGGCCGUAACUGACGCUGAGGAGCGAAAGGGUGGGGAGCAAACAGGCUUAGAUACCCUGGUAGUCCACCCCGUAAACGUUGGGAACUAGUUGUGGGGUCCAUUCCACGGAUUCCGUGACGCAGCUAACGCAUUAAGUUCCCCGCCUGGGGAGUACGGCCGCAAGGCUAAAACUCAAAGGAAUUGACGGGGACCCGCACAAGCGGCGGAGCAUGCGGAUUAAUUCGAUGCAACGCGAAGAACCUUACCAAGGCUUGACAUACACGAGAACGCUGCAGAAAUGUAGAACUCUUUGGACACUCGUGAACAGGUGGUGCAUGGUUGUCGUCAGCUCGUGUCGUGAGAUGUUGGGUUAAGUCCCGCAACGAGCGCAACCCUCGUUCUAUGUUGCCAGCACGUUAUGGUGGGAACUCAUGGGAUACUGCCGGGGUCAACUCGGAGGAAGGUGGGGAUGACGUCAAAUCAUCAUGCCCCUUAUGUCUUGGGCUUCACGCAUGCUACAAUGGCCGGUACAAAGGGCUGCGAUACCGUAAGGUGGAGCGAAUCCCAAAAAGCCGGUCCCAGUUCGGAUUGAGGUCUGCAACUCGACCUCAUGAAGUCGGAGUCGCUAGUAAUCGCAGAUCAGCAACGCUGCGGUGAAUACGUUCCCGGGUCUUGUACACACCGCCCGUCAAGUCAUGAAAGUCGGUAACACCUGAAGCCGGUGGCCCAACCCUUGUGGAG